rnacentral:rRNA from 1 species
AUUGAACGCUGGCGGCAUGCCUUACACAUGCAAGUCGAACGGUAACGCGGGGCAACCUGGCGACGAGUGGCGAACGGGUGAGUAAUGCAUCGGAACGUGCCCAGUAGUGGGGGAUAGCCCGGCGAAAGCCGGAUUAAUACCGCAUACGACCUACGGGUGAAAGGGGGGGAUCGCAAGACCUCUCGCUAUUGGAGCGGCCGAUGUCAGAUUAGGGAGUUGGUGGGGUAAAGGCCUACCAAGGCUACGAUCUGUAGCUGGUCUGAGAGGACGACCAGCCACACUGGGACUGCGACACGGCCCAGACUCCUACGGGAGGCAGCAGUGGGGAAUUUUGGACAAUGGGCGCAAGCCUGAUCCAGCCAUGCCGCGUGCGGGAAGAAGGCCUUCGGGUUGUAAACCGCUUUUGUCGGGGAAGAAAUCUUCUGAGCUAAUACCUCGGGAGGAUGACGGUACCCGAAGAAUAAGCACCGGCUAACUACGUGCCAGCCGCCGCCGUAACAC